rnacentral:rRNA from 1 species
UACGUAGGGGGCAAGCGUUGUCCGGAUUCAUUGGGCGUAAAGAGCGUGUAGGCGGCCAGGUAGGUCGGUUGUGAAAACUGGAGGCUCAACCUUCAGAGGUCGACCGAAACCAUCUGGCUAGAGUCCGGGAGAGGAGAGUGGAAUUCCUGGUGUAGCGGUGAAAUGCGUAGAUAUAGGAAGGAACACCAGUGGCGAAGGCGACCACCUGGACUGAUACUGACACUGAGGUGCGAAAGCGUGGGGAGCAAACAGG